rnacentral:rRNA from 1 species
CUCAGGACGAACGCUGGCGGCGUGCCUAAUACAUGCAAGUCGAGCGGAUCCCUUCGGUGAUUAGCGGCGGACGGGUGAGUAACACGUAGGCAACCUGCCUGUAAGAUCGGGAUAACUACCGGAAACGGUAGCUAAGACCGGAUAGGUGGUUUGGGCGCAUGCCNGGAUCAAGAAACACGGCGCAAGCUGUGGCUUACGGAUGGGCCUGCGGCGCAUUAGCUAGUUGGUGGGGUAACGGCUCACCAAGGCGACGAUGCGUAGCCGACCUGAGAGGGUGAUCGGCCACACUGGGACUGAGACACGGCCCAGACUCCUACGGGAGGCAGCAGUAGGGAAUCUUCCGCAAUGGGCGCAAGCCUGACGGAGCAACGCCGCGUGAGUGAUGAAGGUUUUCGGAUCGUAAAGCUCUGUUGCCCUAGACGAACAGCUAGGGGAGUAACUGCCCUUAGUGUGACGGUAUAGGAGAAGAAAGCCCCGGCUAACUACGUGCCAGCAGCCGCGGUAAUACGUAGGGGGCAAGCGUUGUCCGGAAUUAUUGGGCGUAAAGCGCGCGCAGGCGGCGAUUUAAGUCUGACGUUUAAGCCCAGGGCUCAACCCUGGUUCGCGUUGGAAACUGGAUCACUUGAGUGCAGAAGAGGAAAGCGGAAUUCCACGUGUAGCGGUGAAAUGCGUAGAGAUGUGGAGGAACACCAGUGGCGAAGGCGGCUUUCUGGUCUGUAACUGAC